rnacentral:lncRNA from 10 species
AUUAUGUACAGUACAUAAUACUUGAUAAUAAGUAACAAUGUUCCUGGUUUAUGUAUUUACUAUACUAUAUUUUCAUCAUUAUUUUAGAGUAUCCUCCUUCUACUCACAGAAAGUUAACUGUAAAACAGCCUUUGCCUGUCCUUCAGGAGACAUUUCCUAAGAAGGAAUUGUUAUUAUAGGAGAUGACAGCUCCAUGAAUGUUACUGCCCCUAGAGACCUUCCAAUGGGACAAGAUGUGGAGGGUCUCUCUGCUGUCCAGGCUGGAGUACUGUGGGAUGAUCUCAGCUCAUUGCGAUCUCCGCCUCUCAGGCUCAAGCGAACUUCCCAUCUUAGCCUCCCAAGUAGCUGGGACCAUAGGGGCACUCCAAGAUUCCUGGCUAACUUUUUUUUUUUUUUUCAGAGACAGGUUUUUGCCAUGUUGCCCAGGUUGUUCUCAAACUCCUAGGUUCAAGCAAUCCACCUGCCUUAGCCUCCCAAAGUUCUGGGAUUACAGGCAUGAUCCACUGUGUCCAGCUAAAUUUUAAUUAAUUUAAAUUUAAAUAUUCACCUGUGACUACUGGCAAACUUAUUAGACAGUCUAUCUUCAGAACCAAACAACUUAAUUUUGUACUGUUACAAACUAGUCAUAUAAUUUAGAAGCCAAUUGAGGCAAAAACUAAGAGAUUAGAUAUCCUUUAGGAAAUUAAUUCAAUGUUUGCUUUUUAAAUACUCCACAGAAGCAACAUGUUGAUGCUAAAUGCAAAGUGAUUAGUCCCCAGUUUGGGCUGUUGUAACUUGUGGACCAGUGAUGUCUUUUAUAAGGAAGAGAUAAUCUAUGUAUUCAUUUUUCAUCCUACAAUAGAGAAGAAUAAGGAGUAAGAUUUUUAUUCCUAUAGUUGAGAAAAAAAGACAUAAGAUGGUCACUCUUAAUACUCUCAGGAACCAGAACACAGGCCACAUUUUUAUAGUGACAUAGAGAAGCAGUGUGAAGAAGGAAAACCUCCUUUAUAUAUAUAUAAUGCAAUGUAUAUCUCUCAUAGGAUUACACAACACAGUAGAUACUUUGGAAAUGGUAUUUUUUGAGUUCAAGUGAUCUUUAUUAUUUUUGUACUUCUACAGUUUUGCACUGGGUCUGUCUCAGAUUUUAUUCUCUUUGACUUAAUUACAGUAUUUGACAGUGUUUAACAACCUCUUCC